rnacentral:rRNA from 1 species
AUACAGAGGGUGCGAGCGUUAAUCGGAAUUACUGGGCGUAAAGCGCGCGUAGGCGGAUAUUUAAGUCUCAUGUGAAAGCCCUGGGCUCAACCUGGGAACUGCAUGGGAUACUGGGUAUCUAGAAUACAGUAGAGGGUAGUGGAAUUUCAGGUGUAGCGGUGAAAUGCGUAGAGAUCUGAAGGAACAUCAGUGGCGAAGGCGACUACCUGGACUGAUAUUGACGCUGAGGUGCGAAAGCGUGGGUAGCAAACGGGAUUAGAUACCCUAGUAGUCC